UUAUAGUACUUCACCUAAAUAGAAAAGGACUUCAAGGGACACAAUUUCAAGUUCUAUGUGUGUGGAGCAAGUAUUCCAGCUUUGGGUAUAAUUGAGAUACAACUGAAGUACCUGGGAGAACCUGCCAGUCCUGCUGACCAUUGCCUUAGGGUUUGUGCUCAUUGAUAGAUGAGGAACAACCAAGAAGACAAACCCUUUAAUUUUUCGCGAUUCAGUCGACUUCUUCGUCCUCAUCUACCACCUUCUGAUCGAUCCAUGAAGUAGGAAGGCAGGAGGUAAAAGACAUAUAUGCAUCUCCAAAUCUUGCACUGCCAUGGAGUUUCAAAUGAAGACAGGGCUGCAGUUUAACCUCAAGGGCGAUCUGCUUCUGCUUGGAAGACUUGAAGGAAGAUUCGAUCCUAUCCUUAUAUCCACCUCGCAGAGCUUGUGUUGCCAAUUCUUUUUAUCAUAUUGGAAUGGAUUCAGCAUGGUUGAAUAUUUGACAA